GGUGUAGCCAAGCGGUAAGGCAACGGACUUUGACUCCGUCAUUCGUAGGUUCAAAUCCUGCCACC
rnacentral:tRNA from 1 species